rnacentral:rRNA from 1 species
CGGGGGAGCAAGCGUUGUCGGAUUUACUGGGCGUAAAGGGCGCGUAGGCGGCCACCGCAAGUCGACUGUGAAAUCUCCGGGCUUAACCCGGAAAGGUCAGCCGAUACUGCGGGGCUAGAGUGCAGAAGGGGCAACUGGAAUUCUCGGUGUAGCGGUGAAAUGCGUAGAUAUCGAGAGGAACACCUGCGGCGAAGGCGGGUUGCUGGGCUGACACUGACGCUGAGGCGCGAAAGCUAGGGGAGCGAACGGGAUUAGAUACCCCGGUAGUCCUAGCCUUAAACGAUGAAUGCUUGGUGUCUGGGGUUUUAUAGUCCCCGGGUGCCGUCGCUAACGCUUUAAGCAUUCCGCCUGGGGAGUACGGUCGCAAGACUG